rnacentral:lncRNA from 1 species
GCCAGUGAACAACAAGGCCUCUGCCAUGCUGUGGGUCUGGAUGAACAUCUGGACAUGGUCUCACAUGCAGCCUAAAAGCUGAAAUGUAAUACUCAAAUUUGCAAUGCUGAAGUAAUGGGGAAUAUUUAAAUAAACUUCCAAAUGAUGAGUUCUCUAAGUCUGCAGCAUUUAUAUUUCUGAUUUGGGACACACUAGAUAGCUCAGUACCAAGCUAUGUAUCCAACCCAAAAGGUCAGAAGAAGAAUACAGAAUAACACAAAGAAGUAAAAAAAAAAAUAAAGAUAAAAACCUUUAUAAACUAGAAAGCAAAUAAUAGGGAAAAAUACUACUCUGAAAAUCCUAAUAAAAUAGAUUGAAUAAUAGGCAAAUGUGUUCAAUAAAAAUAUGUGGGAAUAUAACCACAGAUACUUAUGUCUUAAUAUAACACUUUAAUAUUUUAGGCCGGGCACGGU